rnacentral:rRNA from 1 species
AUUGAACGCUGGCGGCAGGCUUUACACAUGCAAGUCGAACGAGUGGCGGACGGGUGAGUAAUGUCUCGGAACCUGCCCGAUGGCGGGGGAUAACUACUCGAAACGGUGGCUAAUACCGCAUCCCAUCAGAUGUGCCCAUAUGGGAUUAGCUAGUUGGUGGGGUAAAGGCUCACCAAGGCGACGAUCCCUAGCUGGUCUGAGAGGAUGACCAGCCACACUGGGACUGAGACACGGUCCAGACUCCGACGGGAGGCAGCAGUGGGGAAUUUUGGACAAUGGGGGAAAGCCUGAUGCAGCCAUCCCGCGUGUAUGAAGAAGGCCUUCGGGUUGUAAAGUACUUUCGGCAGGGAGGCGUUACCUGCAGAAGAAGCACCGGCUAACUCCGUGCCAGCAGCCGCGGUAAUAC